rnacentral:rRNA from 1 species
UACGUAGGGUGCGAGCGUUGCCCGGAUUUAUUGGGCGUAAAGGGCGCGUAGGCGGUGAGAUGCGUCCGUUGUGAAAUCGCCCGGCUCAACUGGGCGGGGUCAGCGGAUACGGUCUCACUUGAGCAAGCUAGGGGGCAAUGGAAUUCCCGGUGUAGUGGUGGAAUGCGUAGAUAUCGGGAGGAACACCAGUGGCGAAGGCGGUUGCCUGGAGCUUUGCUGACGCUGAUGCGCGAAAGCGUGGGGAGCGAUCCGG